GCCCUUUCCCUCUCUCCCUCCAAAACACAAGGUCUCAGCCAGGUGGUGGUGGUGCAAGUCUUUAAUCCCAGCACUCUGGAGGCAGAGGCAGGCAGAUUUCUGUGAGUUCAAGGCCAGCCUGAUCUACAGAGCAAGUGCCAGGACAGGCUCCAAAGCUACACAGAGAAACUAUGUCUUGAAAAACAAUACAAAACAAACAAACAAACAAAACACAUGUCUCUCCGUGUAGGCCACACUGUCCUGGAAUUCCCUACCUACUCCUGGAUGGCCUUGAACCUACAGCCCUCCUGUCUCUGCUUGCGUUACUAGCCUGCAUACACCCCUGCUCCUUCAAAGAGAGUUUUCUUCGGUGUUUCAAAGAAGCUGAGGAAUCGCCAGAAACUUUUACAGCCUAACAACUUUUGCACCUUAUUUUUCAAAAUAAAAGCUUAGAGCUGGAGUGAGGCUCAACAGUUAAGAGCACCGGCUGCUCUUGCAUGGACCUUCAGUUCUCAGCACCCACACAACAGCUCACAGCCAUCUCUAACUCCAGUUCCAAGGGCUUAUGCCAAUUCUGGCCUCCUCAGGUACGGCACACACAUGGUACACACAUACUUGUAUACAUAAAAUCAAAUAAAUAAAUAUAUUUUAAUUAAAAAAUAAAAGUUUAAAUAUGGACGGGGAAGGGUGGGCAGGAAGGAGGAUAGUUUUCUUCCCCUUCAAUGUGCAAGAAGCAAGUUCACCUGAGGGCAGGAAGGGAUCAUUUCCCUAAAGAGCCAACUUCUUGCCUCAAAUGGAUCCCUCUGUUCUGCCCCUGAACUUGAAGAGCAUUCACGGAGUUGGGGGCUGACUCCUGUGGUACUGUGCGUGCGUGUGCGUGCGUGCGUGCGUGCGUGCGUGCGUGCGUGCGUGCGUGCGUGCGUGCGUGCGUGUGUUGUGUGUGCUCUUGAGACAGGGUCUUUCACAGGCCUGAAAGAGUAGAAUGUCUGGCUAGCAAGCUAGCUGCAGGGAUCUGCCUCUGUCUCUGCCUCCCUGCUGCUGAGAUUCCAAGUGUAUGCCAUCAUGUCUGGGAAUCAAAGGAGUCCUCAGGUUGUGCAUCAGACACUUUGGGGACUGAGCCAUCUCCCCAGCCCUCCUGAGACUUUUGAGGAAAUAUUCUGGAUGGUACUGACACUCCCCAGACUAUGAGGCUUUUUGAUUUUGAGUAACAACACCUCCACCCUGCUCUCCCCAGGGUUACCAUCCCAUUACAACCUGCUUCCUAUUGUCUGGAGU
rnacentral:lncRNA from 1 species